GUAGGUGGCAAGCGUUGUCCGGAAUUAUUGGGCGUAAAGCGCGCGCAGGGCGGUCCUUUAAGUCUGAUGUGAAAGCCCACGGCUCAACCGUGGAGGGUCAUUGGAAACUGGGGGACUUGAGUACAGAAGAGGAAAGCGGAAUUCCAAGUGUAGCGGUGAAAUGCGUAGAGAUUUGGAGGAACACCAGUGGCGAAGGCGGCUUUCUGGUCUGUAACUGACGCUGAGGCGCGGAAGCGUGGGGAGCAAACAGGAUUAGAUACCCUGGUAGUCCACGCCGUAAACGAUGAGUGCUAAGUGUUAGGGGGUUUCCGCCCCUUAGUGCUGCAGCUAACGCAUUAAGCACUCCGCCUGGGGAGUACGGCCGCAAGGCUG
rnacentral:rRNA from 1 species